UGUCAUGGCUUAAGGCCUGAUCGCCCAGUCUGCUUCUCCCCGGCUUAUCAGCAGGACCUUUCAUCUGCUUUUGUCAGCAGAACUAGCAUCUGCUUCUUCCCCUCCAGCAAUAAUCAAUGCCUUGGCAAGGUGGCAGUGGCAGAUACUUAGGACAGACAAUACUUUUGUUUAAGUAAAGGAAUUCCUUUAACCCCCUUGUACAAUUUCUCUAUAUUACCCCCCUGUACAUUGGUUACCAGUGCAUCAGUCCUCAGACCCUCAGUGGGGUGUCUUGGAGCUGGGAGCGAGCUUAGCCAGCCAAAGACAAGGGUAAGGUGGUGCCUUGGGAUCCCUUGCUUGCUUGCACAGACACCCAGGCAAAGAUGUAGAUGACCAAGAGGUGUUUUCCCCUCCUGGCUUGGGAUUAAAUUUCUCAGUCACAGGUAAGGUCUUUGUGUAUUAUUUGCUGGGGCAAAUAGAAGGCAGGGAAGGUUGCAUUUCUGCUGCUGGUACUCCAUUUGGAAGGGCUCUUUGUACAAAUGGUGGAGGGUGCUGGGAAAACAAAGUGAUCUCAAUGACAUCCCUGUGCCUGAAUUAAACUGACCUGCUGCUGUCA
rnacentral:lncRNA from 14 species